AGUGAACGCUGGCGGCGUGCUUAACACAUGCAAGUCGAACGAGAACGGGAUAUAGCUUGCUAUAUUUGUCAGCUAAGUGGCGCACGGGUGAGUAAUGUAUAGAUAACCUGCCCUCUAGAAAGGAAUAACAGUUGGAAACGACUGCUAAUGCCCUAUAUGCCUUUAAUACAUAAGUAUGCAAGGGAAACGCUUUAGUGCUAGAGGAUGGGUCUGUAUGGUAUCAGCUUGUUUGUGUGGUAAUGGCUCACCAAGGCUGUGACGCCUCACUGGUUUGGGAGGAUGAUCAGUCACACUGGAACUGAGACACGGUCCAUACUCCUACGGGAGGCAGCAUGGGGGAAUAUUGCACAAUGGACGAAAGUCUGAUGCAGCAACGCCGCUGGGAGUAUGACACAUUUCGGUGCGUAAACUCCUUUUAUAUAGGAAGAUAAUGACGGUACUAUAUGAAUAAGCACCGGCUAUCUCCGUGCCAGCAGCCGCCGUAA
rnacentral:rRNA from 1 species